UGUGAUCUAGUGUAAUUCCUGCACAUAGAGCUUUGACCUCUAAAGAGGGCAUGUCCCGACCACAA
rnacentral:tRNA from 1 species